UUGAUGUCGUUGCGUGUUGGCUGAUAGCGUAAAAGACACAACCGUCGCCUCUAAAUUCAAGAAAAAAGAAAAAACGAGACCACAAAACUUAAAUUAAAAUAAUCUGUGAAAAUCAGCAAUAAAGUAACAAAAAGUCAAACUUAACGGUAUUCAAAACAAAUAGAUUGUGUUGAGUGCGGCAAUAGAAAAAGUUGAUCAGCCCAAAGGUCACAAAUCAAUAUAAAUUCGCGCUGUUAAAGCCAACAGCCUUGCAAUUGUGAGCAUGUCAUCCGCCAGCCAGGUCAAAAAGCAAAGGCAAACGGCCAAAAUAAACGCGCUGUGUGCUAUUUACGAGUGUGAAUUGCAUUAGGAUUUGUUUGGCCCACUUUGUGUGCUGAAUCGAUUUCUGCUCACGUAUCUUAUGCAAACACCUGCGCACCGCACCGACUGCACCAACUGCGACAAUUCAACUAGCCCGCAGGACAGUGUUAAUCAAUAAAAGCCUGCGCAAGUGCUAAAGCCCGCUUCUUCCGUUUUAACUGCGAUGUCGUAAUACUCAGGAAGUUAUGCAGUUGCCGAGCUGUAAACUUGAGCGCUUCUAUGCCGAGACAGGCUAAGUCCUUCCACUCAGAGUCGUAAUCGUAUCGAAUCAGCCAGAAUAAAAAAGCGAACCCCUCCAUCACAAUGUGGACUAAAGAAAACGCAGCCAGACAGUGGCUGCUGGCCCUGACAGGUAAGAAUUCCA
rnacentral:misc_RNA from 1 species